rnacentral:rRNA from 1 species
CCUACGGGUGGCAGCAGUGAGGAAUAUUGGUCAAUGGACGCAAGGCUGAACCAGCCAAGUCGCGUGAAGGAAGACGGAUCUAUGGUUUGUAAACUUCUUUUAUCGGGGAAUAAAGGUCUCCACGUGUGGAUAUUUGAAUGUACCCUAUGAAUAAGCAUCGGCUAACUCCGUGCCAGCAGCAGCGGUAAUACGGAGGAUGCGAGCGUUAUCCGGAUUUAUUGGGUUUAAAGGGUGCGUAGGUUGGUUUUUAAGUCAGCGGUGAAAGUUUGGGGCUCAACCAUAACAGUGCCGUUGAACCUGGUUGUCUUGAGUGUGUGUGAGGUAUGCGGAAUGCGUGGUGUAGCGGUGAAAUGCAUAGAUAUCACGCAGAACUCCGAUUGCGAAGGCAGCCUAC